rnacentral:rRNA from 1 species
ACGUAGGGGGCGAGCGUUGUCCGGAAUUACUGGGCGUAAAGGGCAUGCAGGCUGUUAAUAAAGUCGUGUGUUAAAAGAUGCGGCUCAACCGUGUUGUGCAUACGAAACUAAUUGACUGGAGUAUCGGAGAGGCAAGUGGAAUUCCCAGUGUAGCGGUGAAAUGCGUAGAUAUUGGGAAGAACAUCGGUGGCGAAGGCGACUUGCUGGCCGGUAACUGACGCUGAGAUGCGAAAGCCAGGGGAGCAAACGG